AACUUGCAUGACAAGGCACUAGGCAAAAACUCUGUAGAAACUGAAUGGUACAAAAUUACUUUGCGAUAUAAGGGCAAGGUGCUAUUAACUGCUGGAAGCAUAUUCGGUCAGUUUGGUUAGAGGGCAGAGAUAGAGGCGCUGCACAUCAAUGUGACUCCAACGUACCACAGUCGCAAGAGUACGUGUGCCUUACUGAUGCUAAAAUGAAUCCUCCAGCUUCCUUGGCUUCUCCUGUAAAUCUGCAGCUGACUUUAUAUUGUACUGUAAACUAGACGCCUGAAAGCUCUGCAAAUGUCUGAUAAGGUUGAGAACCACAGGCAUGCAGAUUUCCUGGUGGACUUCAUGUGUCUUCUGCUGUGGGGGUGUAUGUGUGGGCAUACAUGUGUAAACACAAAUAUAAACAGAACUGCAGCUAAGAAUCAGAAAAAGUUAUGAAUUCAAAGAAUAAGAUUCACUGCAAGAGCGUUUAACAAGAGAAAUGAUCCAGUUUUGCAUAUGCAGCCUUGGACUUAACAUGUGCUUAAAGACCUCAGGAUAAUCAAAGGUGAUUUCAAGCGGAUUUUCAAAAUAACAUGAAGACAGCAUCAAAAAUCUUGCGAAGCUACUGGUCAAUAGAACAGCUUCAUUCCAAUAACCCAAUUCAGAUUCCCAAUGAAGGGAGCAAGCCCUCUAAGUGGCAUAAAUAUGGAUUUGUCUAAAGUGAUCAAAAGAGGAUGAUUCAUAUACAAUUCAGAUGUAUGAUACUCACUGGAGAAGGGACAGGUUUCUUUUUUUCAAAGCUCAGUUUUCUUUCAAUAAAGGUUGCGCUGCUGUUUUCUUUUACAAAAUUCAGCUUGUGAACCUCCUCCAUCAACUGAUUCUGCACUUCACAGAUGCUUGAGGAAGACAGCUGCAAAUACAAAGCUGCCCCUGACUAUAAAGUGCUUUGUUCAUCCCUGGGUGGAAAGGGAUUCUCCAGAAGGGCCUCAGUACAACGUGUUUCACAUGUAGAGGCUUAUCCAGAUACAGUUACUAGGCUCCAGUUCAGGUCCAGCUCUUCUCCUGUUGACCUCUGAAGGCAGCUGUUGUAGUCCAACAACUUGUCGUAGCGCUUCUGGAUGAGCUUCUGUGGGCCUGCAAACAAAGCUUGUAGUGCUGAGAGAGGAAUCAAAACAAGCUUGUCCAGUUGAGCCAUCUGGAAAUGUAACUUCAGGAGUUGUUGCAUUUCAAUGAUCCUGACCUGCUGGAUGUCCAAAACUGCGGAAGUGAUAAACUCUACCUUAAGCUUUUCAAAGAUGUCACGUUAAGCAUAGAAGUCCCUUAACCACGAGGUUUCAGAGGCUGGGUGAGUGUUCUGGCAAAGUGUUGC